CGGGAUGUGGCGCAGUUUGGCUAGCGCGCUUGGUUCGGGACCAAGAGGUCGCAGGUUCAAAUCCUGUCAUCCCGACCA
rnacentral:tRNA from 1 species